rnacentral:siRNA from 1 species
UGCAAAUACAAACAUAUGGAU